rnacentral:SRP_RNA from 1 species
GGCGGGCCCCUGCGCAUUGUGGCUUGGUCAACCUGGUCAGGUCGGGAACGAAGCAGCCACAGCCGAUCCCCACAAGUGCCGCAGACAAGGCUCGCCUUU